GGGGGAAUAUUGCACAAUGGACGGAAGUUUGAUGCAGCGACGCCGCGUGGAGGGUGUAGGCCUUCGGGUUGUGAACUCCUUUUUCUCGCGAAAAAGGCACAGUUUUGGCUGUGUUGAUGGUAGUGGGGGAAGAAGCGCCGGCUAACUACGUGCCAGCAGCCGCGGUAAUACGUAGGGCGCGAGCGUUGUCCGGAUUUAUUGGGCGUAAAGAGCUCGUAGGUGGUUCGUCGCGUCUGUCGUGAAAGGCAGCAGCUUAACUGUUGGUCUGCGGUGGGUACGGGCGGGGUUGAGUGCGGUAGGGGUGAGUGGAAUUCCUGGUGUAGCGGUGGAAUGCGCAGAUAUCAGGAGGAACACCGAUGGCGAAAGCAGGUCACUGGGCCGUUACUGACACUGAGGAGCGAAAGCGUGGGGAGCGAACAGG
rnacentral:rRNA from 1 species